UUUGAGGGGAAUGUUGUCCGGCUCGAGGACUCUUAGCUCUUUCUAUUCAUGUUAGAUCUUGUUCGAUCUAAUCAUCGAAACUUUCAGAUCUGAUUAGGGUUUAAGUGUCGUCGGACCAGGCUUCAUUCCCCCCAAU
rfam:Arabis alpina cultivar Pajares chromosome 4, whole genome shotgun sequence.